UACGUAGGGUGCGAGCGUUGUUCGGAUUCAUUGGGCGUAAAGGGUGUGUAGGUGGCGCGCUAAGUCGGGUGUGAAAUUUCGGAGCUUAACUCCGAAACUGCAUUCGAUACUGGCGUGCUUGAGGACUGGAGAGGAGACUGGAAUUCAUGGUGUAGCAGUGAAAUGCGUAGAGAUCAUGAGGAAGACCAGUGGCGAAGGCGGGUCUCUGGACAGUUCCUGACACUGAGGCACGAAGGCCAGGGGAGCAAACAGG
rnacentral:rRNA from 1 species